rnacentral:lncRNA from 1 species
GAAACAGUUAAAGGUCCAGAUCCACAAAGCACUACUCCCAGGCCUGCUACUACACCUAGAGAAGAGCCAAUUGCUCUGAAACGCAACCUCUCUAGGUCUGAUUCCUCUGCUACUGAUGACACACCUAAAGAGCGCAUUGGUAAGCAACAUUUUUCUGAUUAGGGUCGACAUUUUUAGUGUAGUUGUUGAGUUGUAUUAAUGCGGAUCAGUUUUCAAGUGGCCUGAAUACGUAAAUUCGUGGCACCUUCAGAUUUCAAUCCUAGACAUUUUUUGAAGCACGAUUUGCUUAUAUAUCUUAUAAUCUUAUAUAUGUUACCGUUUUUUAUUUGAAGGUGGAAAAUUAUUUGUUUUUUGAUUUUAAGUACACGAAUUCAUUUAAUAAGAUAAGGCUCGGUUGUUGUUGACUUGUGCUAUGGUUUUUUAUGUGGGUGUAUUCUGUCUAUGUUGUAUAGCACAUUGAUUUUAUUGUCAUACUGGCAUGUGUUGUGUAUUUUAUGUCUGUUUUUUAAGUUGACUAGUUUUUUGCAAUCUUUGGCAGUUCCACCAUCACCAAGGUCCCCAACUAAUUCCCUCAGGAUUGAUCGAUUCCUCCGUCCAUUUACUCUGAAAGCUGUGCAAGAACUUCUUGGUAAGACUGGGAAUGUUAGCAGUUUCUGGAUGGACCAGAU